rnacentral:rRNA from 1 species
GACAGAGGGUGCAAACGUUGUUCGGAAUUACUGGGCGUAAAGCGCGUGUAGGCGGCUUGGCAAGUCAGUUGUGAAAUCUCCGGGCUUAACUCGGAAAGGUCAACUGAUACUGUGCGACUAGAGUGCGGAAGGGGCAACUGGAAUUCUCGGUGUAGCGGUGAAAUGCGUAGAUAUCGAGAGGGACACCUGCGGCGAAGGCGGGUUGCUGGGCCGACACUGACGCUGAGGCGCGAAAGCCAGGGGAGCGAACGGG